rnacentral:tRNA from 1 species
UGUUGGAGAGCUCAGUCAGUAGAGCAUGAGAUGCUUAAUCUCAGGGUUGUGGGUUCGAGCCCCACAUUGGACAA